CCUACGGGUGGCAGCAGUGGGGAAUAUUGGACAAUGGGGGAAACCCUGAUCCAGCGACGCCGCGUGAGUGAAGAAGUAUUUCGGUACGUAAAGCUCUAUCAGCAGGAAAGAAAAUGACGGUACCUGACUAAGAAGCCCCGGCUAACUACGUGCCAGCAGCCGCGGUAAUACGUAGGGGGCAAGCGUUAUCCGGAUUUACUGGGUGUAAAGGGAGCGUAGACGGCAGCGCAAGUCUGGAGUGAAAUGCCGGGGCCCAACCCCGGAAUUGCUCUGGAAACGGUGAAGCGGGAGUGCAGGAGAGGUAGGCGGAAGGCGGGGGGGAGCGGGGAAAGG
rnacentral:rRNA from 1 species